rnacentral:rRNA from 1 species
GCGGUGCUUACACAUGCAGUCGAACGGUGAAGCAGAGCUUGCUCUGUGGAUCAGUGGCGAACGGGUGAGUAACACGUGAGUAACCUGCCUUUAGCUCUGGGAUAACCCCGGGAAACCGGGGCUAAUACCGGAUACGACCAAUCAAGACAUCUUGUGUUGGUGGAAAGUUUUUCGGCUAAAGAUGGACUCGCGGCCUAUCAGCUUGUUGGUGAGGUAAUGGCUCACCAAGGCGACGACGGGUAGCCGACCUGAGAGGGUGACCGGCCACACUGGGACUGAGACACGGCCCAGACUCCUACGGGAGGCAGCAGUGGGGAAUAUUGCACAAUGGGCGCAAGCCUGAUGCAGCAACGCCGCGUGAGGGAUGACGGCCUUCGGGUUGUAAACCUCUUUUAGCAGGGAAGAAGCGAAAGUGACGGUACCUGCAGAAAAAGCACCGGCUAACUACGUGCCAGCAGCCGCGGUAAUACGUAGGGUGCAAGCGUUGUCCGGAAUUAUUGGGCGUAAAGAGCUCGUAGGCGGUUUGUCACGUCUGCUGUGAAAAUCCAAGGCUCAACCUUGGACUUGCAGUGGGUACGGGCAGGCUAGAGUGCGGUAGGGGAGAUGGGAAUUCCUGGUGUAGCGGUGGAAUGCGCAGAUAUCAGGAGGAACACCAAUGGCGAAGGCACAUCUCUGGGCCGUAACUGACGCUGAGAAGCGAAAGCGUGGGGAGCGAACAGGAUUAGAUACCCUGGUAGUCCACGCCGUAAACGGUGGGUGCUAGCUGUGGGCCACAUUCC